GAGAACUUGUUAAUAUUUAUUUUGACACGUUAAUUUUCAUAGACCUAAUAUUUAUUAUAUGUAAUAUACAGGCCAACGCGAGUUUAAAGCUGGCCACACACCGUAGGGUAUGCCUGUACAGUUUUAUCAACUGCACAGGUAAAACGGAGGGUGUGUGACAUUUGACUGUGCAGUUUCCUAUUCAGUUUUGCCUGUGCAGUUGAGAUGUACAGGCAUAGAAUACUAAUUGACACUUUCAACAAAACCGAAGUUUGACAGCAAUUCAGGGCCGAAUGCUGUCCCUUUCUAAUGUAUGGCACUAUCAAUUUCGGCCAUUUAGGGUUGUGAAAAUUCAAGUCAUUAUCUUAUCUGUGGUCGUGCACGUACAGGAACGUCAAGUUGUGCCGACCCUAAUUAUUGCUCGGAGCAAUGCUGAGCCAAAAGGAGCCGAGAAAAGCCGAAAGGAGGAGUGUCGUCGCUCCACUGGAACAGGCAACACUGCGCAGGCAUACCCUAGUGUGUAUGGCCAGCUUUAGUUAUUAAAUCUCAUUCCAAUAUGAUACUGAUCUAAUACUGAUCUGUCUACUGAUCUUAAUUUAACUUACGUCGUUUUAAAGUUGGUACCAAACGUGUCAAAAGUAACGUUUUUCGUUGAUGGUUGACAUUGUGCAUUAGCAGAAUUCAGCAGGGGCCCAUUUCUCGAACGGUAUUAGUCUAUUAUUAUUAGCGUGUUGCCAUGGUAACCCAUAUGAUUUGACAGUUUGUUGACUUAUAUUAGUCAAAUAUCGUUCGAGAAACGGGCCCCAGGUCCUCUAAAGGAGAUUGGAACUAUCUCAUAUUGGAAUGAUGUCAGUUCCGUGUUAGAUCAGUAUGACAUUAUAUUGUUGAAAUUGGCCUGUAAGUCAAUAUAAGCUAGGGCUUGAUAUUUUUUCCUUUUGUAUUAUGGUAGUAGUGUAGCGCAAUGAAACGGAUGGACCGAUUUUGAUAAAAAAUGUCUAAGAACCAGAGUUAGAAAAAUUGCUUAAAAACCUACAGUUAAAUGGCCGACAUGGUAAUGGUGCCACAGAUAGACACACAUAGCGGUCAAACUUAUAACAUCCGCUUUUUGCGUCGGGGGUUAGUAAAAUAAGGUAUUAAGAAAAGAGUAAUAGUUCUACAUGGUUCUAAGAAUUCUACGCGAACAAUAAAAAUAUAAUAUCCCAUUCCUUACACAAACAGCAUAACUAAGUAAGAUGCCUCUAAUUAAAUCAGUAUGAACCUAAUUUGCACUGCAAUAUGGCGACGACUUGCGACUUGCUCGCUUAAAGGUGACAGUCCAUUUCCAACUGCAGCUGCACUACCGUUGCGACAUUACUGGUGCGACAUUACUGCAGCGGCCGACUGCUGCUGUUUGCGGCGUGCAGUCGCGGCAGCGUUCGUCAGUUGAUUGCCAAAGUCAAUGAAUAAUGUCACUGUCAGACGUAUAAAUAAAAUUACUAAUUUACUUAUUUGUAUUUUUUACGAGAAGAAGUAAGUGACGAUAAUGCUACAUGGUACACGAAAACGAAAAACAGUUUGCCUUUCUACAAAAGUCACAUUCAGUCGAAGGCAGCUACGCAAUAUUAUUAAAAAACCAGAUAUUGUUGGUGAUCGUUUGUUUGCCGAUUAAAUGAAUAACAAUUUAACUUCAAAUUGAAGAACUACAACCAAAUUACUCGAAUUAAAUGAAUGCAGAGGAGAAAUAUUUCUUCACUUAAGGUGUCCAUGGGCGACGGCACUCGUGGUCGUGGCAGAUACAGUGUAUGACUAGACCAUAUAAAACUUGAUGGGCGAGACAAGAAAUCCUUUAUGAAGAAAGCUAUUUACGUUAGCCAAGGGGCUGAUAGAAAGAAUAUUUAAUAAAUUAAUUGGAAUAAUAAAUAUUUUCCUCGUGAUGGUGUGAUAAAAUAAAUUCGUGUUGCGCUCUGUAGCAAAGUUUGUUUAACCGUCAUGCCUUGAAGUCCCCGCAACUGUCAAUACAAUUUUAUUUUAAAACCGCUGUCGCUUCUCUUGUGGUACAAUUUUGUAAUUUUUCUUACGUUUGAGUAUCCAUAUGCUACCAUGAGGUGUUAAACAACAACUUUGCCUUUUGUAUUUCUAGGUAAUACAACUGAAUUAUUGCUUCUUUUAUCUCAAAAAUGGCUUUGAAAUGACAAAGUGAGAAAGUGUCACGAUAUUAUACACCGUGGGCUGGUAAAACCUGAUAGUUUUAAAGUUGUAUUCUUAAUCG